CUGGCAACUUUGAUAGCGACUAGGUGCAAAAUUUUUUUAUAAAGAUAUAUUGCAUUUAAAUUUCCUUUUAGAAUGACGCCAAUACUACAAGCACAAAAAAAAUCAUAUUUUGGGUUGGUGGCACUUUAAGUGGCUCGAUACAGUUUUUUUUUUAAAUAGAAAAUUUACGUUUUAGACCCGUAUGUUUUGGACAAGUAUUACUUGUUGAAAGACAAGAGGCAUCUUGCUUAUGUAAAACAACAUCCAAAGAGUUUAAAUUUUUCACACUUCGUAUAGAAACUGAUAUACUGGCGGAUAUAUCGACUUUAAAGUAGUCUAACUCGUAAACGACAUCGGUGACCCCCAAAUUUUAUUUCGUAAAAAUUAAAUGAUUUCUCUUAUUACUCAAUU